rnacentral:lncRNA from 1 species
AUGGACUGGACAACUCAAUGAGUAUUUCACCUUUCCUAUACUUCCGACCCCACUGGAUGAUCCAAGCCUGACCAAUGAACAGAAAGAGGCCAUCAUGCAAGACUCUCAGCCUAUGGAUGAUGAUGACAGUAUUUUCUGACUACUGAUGGACGUAUCCUCCUCAAUAAUCCAAAAGAUAGUGGUUGUGUAUGCUAGACAUCAAGACAAAGAAAGAUGAGAUGUCAAUU